GACGGAGGGCGCAAGCGUUGUUCGGAAUCACUGGGCGUAAAGCGUGCGCAGGCGGUUUUGUAAGCCAGAUGUGAAAUCCCCGGGCUUAACCUGGGAAUGGCAUUUGGGACUGCAAGGCUCGAGUGCGGCAGAGGAGACUGGAAUUCCUGGUGUAGCAGUGAAAUGCGUAGAUAUCAGGAGGAACACCGAUGGCGAAGGCAGGUCUCUGGGCUGACACUGACGCUCAUGCACGAAAGCGUGGGGAGCAAACAGG
rnacentral:rRNA from 1 species